rnacentral:rRNA from 1 species
CCUACGGGUGGCAGCAGUGAGGAAUAUUGGGCAAUGGACGAGAGUCUGAACCAGCCAAGUAGCGUGAAGGAUGACUGCCCUCUGGUUUGUAAACUUCUUUUAUAUGGGAAUAAAAUGUUCCACGUGUGGGAUUUUGUAUUUACCAUAUGAAUAAGGAUCGGCUAACUCCUUGCCGGCAGCCGCGGUAAUACAGAGGAUCCGAGCGUUAUCCGGAUUUAUUGGGUUUAAAGGGAGCGUAGGUGGAUUGUUAAGUCAGUUGUGAAAGUUUGCGGCUCAACCGUAAAAUUGCAGUUGAAACUGGCAGUCUUGAGUACAGUAGAGGUGGGAGGAAUUCGAGGGGUAGCAGUGAAAUGCUUAGAUA